AUGAUAACACAUUAUUAAUAUUUUGGAGGAGAUAAUGCUGCAGAGCUGACCUGAGGAAGGCAUAUGCAAAAGUCAAAAGUUAACAACGAAAAGAAGAGCCACAGGGAGCCAGUUUACCGCUCUGUCUAAGAACAAACCGAAGCCUUCUCCAGGCUCUGACGCUCCUUUUAUGCCAGUCAUCUAAUCAGUCUGAUGUGCUGCACCUGUGGGUAACAAGCCUGACAGGAAGCCUGCAGGAGAGAAGCACGUGAGAGCUGCACACUGAAGCACACAAUCUGCAAACAGCCUGGCAGAUAUGACAGCAUAUUUCUAAAACACAUUUUCCACUUAGAGCAAAUUCCAACAGGACCUGGAGCAGCACACCCUAAAAGUCAGUUCACAUUGCAGCAGAAGAACGAACGUGUCCGUGGCUCCUUACUUCAAUUAUUCCCCUUUUCAGGAGGAAACUGGAGGAAGGAAUCCAGAGGGACCGUCAGAGAUGCAGGAGGUGACGAGGAAUUGGAACCAGGAAGAGGUGAUCGACCAGGAACCGACUGACACAAGGUGCUAAUUUUGAAGAGAGAAGAGUCAAACCUGGUAAAAAUCUGGGAGGGAGACCAGCUACGUGUCCCUACAGACGACAGAGGAGGCUGUGACGCAGGAGAAUGCUUUCUCUGAGGUACGAAGUAGCUAGUUACAUUUACAGUAACU